rnacentral:rRNA from 1 species
AGCCUGAUGCAGCCAUGCCGCGUGUAUGAAGAAGGCCUUCGGGUUGUAAAGUACUUAGAGGGAAGGUGGUGUCUUAAUACGCAUCAUUUGACGAGCUGCAGAAGAAGCACCGGCUAACUCCGUGCCAGCAGCCGCGGUAAUACGGAGGGUGCGAGCGUUAAUCGGAAUUACUGGGCGUAAAGCGCAUGCAGGUGGUUUGUUAAGUCAGAUGUGAAAGCCCGGGGCUCAACCUCGGAAUUGCAUUUGAAACUGGCAGACUAGAGUACUGUAGAGGGGGGUAGAAUUUCAGGUGUAGCGGUGAAAUGCGUAGAGAUCUGAAGGAAUACCGGUGGCGAAGGCGGCCCCCUGGACAGAUACUGACACUCAGAUGCGAAAGCGUGGGGAGCAAACAGGUUAGAUACCCUGGUAGUCCACGCCGUAAACGGCCUUGUUGUGGCCUUGAGCCGUGGCUUUCGGAGCUAACGCGUUAAGUAGACCGCCUGG